CAAAAAAUUACGAAAUAUCAAUAUAUCUCUAACCAAACUUCGCUUUGAAUCGUUUUUUGUUCGCAAUGUUUUACCGUUAGUUACAGGUAUAAAUGAAAUAACUUCAUGAUUUUGUUUUAUUUUUUUAAUAACUUUCCGCACAUAAAAUAUAUAAUAUUAUCGAUCGUCGAUUAAUUCACACGUAAAAUACUCCAGAGACUUUUACAGUGG